rnacentral:rRNA from 1 species
AGUGAACGCUGGCGGUAGGCCUAACACAUGCAAGUCGAACGGCAGCACAGAGGAGCUUGCUCCUUGGGUGGCGAGUGGCGGACGGGUGAGGAAUACAUCGGAAUCUACUCUGUCGUGGGGGAUAACGUAGGGAAACUUACGCUAAUACCGCAUACGACCUACGGGUGAAAGCAGGGGACCUUCUGGCCUUGCGCGAUUGAAUGAGCCGAUGUCGGAUUAGCUAGUUGGCGGGGUAAAGGCCCACCAAGGCGACGAUCCGUAGCUGGUCUGAGAGGAUGAUCAGCCAAACUGGAACUGAGACACGGUCCGGACUCCUACGGGAGGCAGCAGUGGGGAAUAUUGGACAAUGGGCGCAAGCCUGAUCCAGCCAUACCGCGUGGGUGAAGAAGGCCUUCGGGUUGUAAAGCCCUUUUGUUGGGAAAGAAAUCCAGCUGGCUAAUACCCGGUUGGGAUGACGGUACCCAAAGAAUAAGCACCAGCUAACUUCGUGCCAGCAGCCGCGGUAA